rnacentral:rRNA from 1 species
UACGUAGGGUGCAAGCGUUGUCCGGAAUUAUUGGGCGUAAAGAGCUCGUAGGCGGUCUGUCGCGUCUGCUGUGAAAACUCGGGGCUUAACCCCGGGCCUGCAGUGGGUACGGGCAGACUAGAGUGCGGUAGGGGAGACUGGAAUUCCUGGUGUAGCGGUGAAAUGCGCAGAUAUCAGGAGGAACACCGGUGGCGAAGGCGGGUCUCUGGGCCGUAACUGACGCUGAGACGCGAAAGCGUGGGGAGCAGACAGG